GGAUUAUCGGUAUCGAUCGCGCGCGAAUUAGUCGCCGAUGCUCGUAUAAUCUCCUCCCCGCUCGCGUAGCCUCAUUGUUUAAUCGAACGACGCGACGGAAUUACCGGAUGGUUAUCAUCGUUGAAAGUCACUCGGCCGAAUGAUUAACGAAUAAUUACGCGUGGAAAAUAAUUCGCUUUUGGCCGAGCGAAAGUGUCGAUGGAAGAAGCGUUCGUUCGUUUCUUUCACGGUUGAAC